CAAUUUCGAUAACAGUCAACGAUAAGCCAAAUAGAAUCUAACAUUGCCAAUUCGAUUGCGGAGUUCUGCGGUGCCGGAAUAAAUAAAUGUUCGUUGCUCGCUAGCGCAUACCAAUUAGUUAAAAAUAAAAAUAAAUAACAUUCAAGUGCUUGCGAUCGUGUGUAUUGUGGAAUUGUGGGUGAAAUUGAAACUGAAAUUUGUGAAGUGGUUUGCGCGCGUUUCUUGUAACUUACACAUAUAUAUUAUCAAAUAUAUGUAUGUUUAUAUUACCGGUAGAUCGCUGCAGAGAGUGACUUUAUCUAAGUGUUUGCUGAAUUGGGCGGCGUCAAUAGGAAACCAAUAAGCA